rnacentral:rRNA from 1 species
GACGAAGGUGGCGAGCGUUGUUCGGAAUCACUGGGCAUAAAGCGCACGUAGGCGGCGAUGUAAGUCGGGUGUGAAAUCCCUCGGCCCAACCGAGGAACUGCGCCCGAAACUGCAUUGCUUGAGGAUCAAAGGGGUGCUCGGAAUUUCCGGUGGAGCGGUGAAAUGCGUUGAUAUCGGAAGGAACGUCGGCGGCGAAAGCGGAGCACUGGUUGAUUACUGACGCUGAGGUGCGAAAGCCAGGGGAG